rnacentral:rRNA from 1 species
UACGUAGGGUGCGAGCGUUGUCCGGAAUUACUGGGCGUAAAGCGUGCGCAGGCGGUUUGGUAAGACAGAUGUGAAAUCCCCGGGCUCAACCUGGGAAUUGCAUUUGUGACUGCCCGGCUAGAGUGUGUCAGAGGGGGGUAGAAUUCCACGUGUAGCAGUGAAAUGCGUAGAUAUGUGGAGGAAUACCGAUGGCGAAGGCAGCCCCCUGGGAUAACACUGACGCUCAUGCACGAAAGCGUGGGGAGCAAACAGG